GGAAUAAAUUGUCCUUGCAGAGCACAGCCUGGAGACUGUGCUGAUUAACACCUGCUAGUGGACAAGUAUGGUUCUACAUCUUCUGAGAAUUCUGACAUCCAAACUUGGUCAUCUUAAAAGGAGUCUGUAGUGUAUUUCCAGCACGGAGGGGGAAAAAUAUAUUCUCAUCAGGUGCAAUGUGGAACAACAAGCUGGAAAUUAAGGUCGAAGCACCAACUCA